rnacentral:lncRNA from 1 species
CUAUCUCUAUUUUUUAGCGCACAAAUAACACCACCCUUUACCGGAAGCAGCACCACAGUGGACAACUAAAAUCCACUGUUUUUUAACUUUUCAUUAUCCAUCUACCUUUCAGAAAUUUUUAUUAUUGAAACUUGGAUAGAUUUCAAUCCAAUUUUUUUCAAAAAUAGUGGUCAAGAAAAUGCAGGUGCCUUCGUCGAGGAAAGUUGCGCCGAAGCCGGUGGCGAAAAUGGCUCCGGUGAAGAAGGCGACACCUGCUGCUACGAGUGUUAAAGUUAUGACGGCAAAGUCGCCGGCGAAGAGGGCAUCUGCUAGAAAGGGGAGGAAGUAAUUAGAUAGACGUAGGAUUGUAAAUUUUCUGGAUCUUUGUGGGUGGUUUGUAUUAGCGCCCAAUAUAGAGAAUCGUAUUUUAACUUUCAGUUGUAUUUUCUAUUUUUAAUUUUGAUCUUAUAAUAAUCCUUUUAAUAUCUGAAUUUAUGCUGUUGAAUACACUUUAUUAGAUGACAGUAUUGUUACAUCCAGC